UGAGAAUCCCGUCCGGUUGACCGCAGGAUGUUUUACGUUACGCUCUCUAAGAGUCGAGUUGUUUGGGAUUGCAGCUCAAAAUGGGAGGUAAAUUUCUCCUAAGGCUAAAUACAGGCGAGAGACCGAUAGCGAACAAGUACCGUGAGGGAAAGAUGAAAAGAACUUUGAAAAGAGAGUUAAACAGUACGUGAAAUUGUUGAAAGGGAAACGAUUGAAGCCAGUCGUACCGGCGGGAAAUCAACUUCUUGAGCGCUUGUCGUGGGUGACUUUGAGCUUCGCGGCCUUCGUUGCUUUGCGUUAUGGUGCUUUUGUGGUGUACUUUUCCGUAUGGUAGGUCAAUAUCGAUUUUGAUCGUCAUAAAAUGAUCGGUGGCUAAUCCGUAGGAAUGUGGCUUCGGUCUUGUAUCGGAGUGUUAUAGCCUUUGGUAGAUGUGACGAUUGGGAUCGAGGAUUGCAACGAAUACCCAUUGGGCUAUCCGUCUGACCUCUGAAAGUCGCUCGGGUGUUGAAAGCGUGCUUAUGACAUUCUAGUUGGCGGUCAAAAGGUUAGAACGCGAUUACAUUCGUUAAGGAUGUUGACGUA
rnacentral:rRNA from 1 species